UUUCAGCAACGGAUCUCUUGGCUCUCGCAUCGAUGAAGAACGCAGCGAAAUGCGAUAAGUAAUGUGAAUUGCAGAAUUCAGUGAAUCAUCGAAUCUUUGAACGCACCUUGCGCUCCUUGGUAUUCCGAGGAGCAUGCCAGUUUGAGUGU
rnacentral:rRNA from 1 species